CCUACGGGGGGCAGCAGUGGGGAAUAUUGCGCAAUGGGCGAAAGCCUGACGCAGCGACGCCGCGUGAGGGAUGAAGGUCUUCGGAUCGUAAACCUCUGUCAGCAGGGAAGAACGGUCACUGUGCUAAUCAGCAGUGAAUUGACGGUACCUGCAAAGGAAGCACAGGCUAACUCCGUGCCAGCAGCCGCGGUAAUACGGAGGGUGCGAGCGUUAAUCGGAAUUACUGGGCGUAAAGCGCUCGUAGGCGGUAUGUCAAGUCAAGGGUGAAAUCCCCGCGCUCAACGUGGGAACUGCCUUUGAAACUGGCAAACUGGAGUGUGUGAGAGGAUAGUGGAAUUCCAGGUGUAGGCGUGAAAGCCGUAGAUAUCUGGAGGAACAUCAGUGGCGAAGGCGACUAUCUGGCACAUAACUGACGCUGAGGAGCGAAAGCGUGGGUAGCAAACAGGAUUAGAUACCCUAGUAGUC
rnacentral:rRNA from 1 species